rnacentral:rRNA from 1 species
AUUGAACGCUAGCGGGAUGCCUUACACAUGCAAGUCGAACGGAGUGGCGAACGGGUGGGUAAUGUAUCGGAACGUGCACAGUAGCGGGGGAUAACUACGCGAAAGCGUAGCUAAUACCGCAUACUUUUGGAGCGGCCGAUAUCGGAUUAGCUAGUUGGAGGGGUAACGGCUCACCAAGGCGACGAUCCGUAGCUGGAUUGAGAGGACGACCGGCCACACUGGGACGGAGACACGGCCCAGACUCCUACGGGAGGCAGCAGUGGGGAAUUUUGGACAAUGGGGGAAAGCCUGAUCCAGCCAUCCCGCGUGAGUGAUGAAGGCUUUCGGGUUGUAAAGCACUUUUGGCAGGAAAGCGGUAUCUGCAGAAUAAGCACCGGCUAACUACGUGCCAGCAGCCGCGGUAAUUC